rnacentral:lncRNA from 1 species
AUGUAAGGUAUUAACUAAUACGAAUUAAGCACAUAUUAAAGAGUCACAGGUAGCUUUGCAGACCCUUCAUGCAAAUUAUUAAUAGAAAAUGGUGCCCCCCUUGAGGCCACUUGAUGAGCUGAGGCAUUGAGGGCCAUGUAUAGUUUUUUGUUGUAUAUUCUUCUUUGCCUUUUUAAAGAAUAACCUUCUAAAAAUGUAAAAAAAAACACUCUUCACUCAUAGGCCACACAGAAAACAUUCCACAGGGUCGAAUUGGCUCACGGAUAGCAAUUUGCCAACCUCUGCUCUGUAUCUUGAUUAGGUGCUGGUUGCAUGGAUAUAUAUAUAUUUGUCAAAACUCACUGAUCAAUGCACUUAAGACCUAUGCUUUUUACUAUAUGUAGUCUCAAUAAAAUAUAGAACAGUUCUUGACAGUUGAGUUAAUGCUCAAAUGAAUGUUAAUGUUAUUUUACCUUCAUAUAAUGACAUACUUUAUUUUUAAUUAUAACAAAGUAUUAUUCUUCUGCAUUAUAAAACAAAUUCAAGCUAUAUAUGUGUAUGUGUAUAUAGAAAAUAUUCUCAGACCUCAAGGGGUCGUUGAACCCUAGUCAGAGAAUCAAGCAUCUGUGAUGGACCAAUCUGUUCCUUCUACCUGGUGCCUGAGUAAGAACUAGCCAUAAGACCACAAGGCCACCUUGCCUUUGAUUAGCAUGCUGCGCGUCUCCUUUCCCAGUUGAGGUUUUUGAAGAACGAGAAUGUAUUGCAUUUAAGAUCUAGCCAGAUAACCAUUUGAAACAUUUCCAAAGGCUAAGACACUAUUUUUGAGAAUAUUUUCUGUGCAUUAAUAUUUCCUUAUGUACAUAUUGGCAUCACUUUUCACACAUGCUAAAGAAUAUUCCCUAUGGAACUAGCAAUUCAAAACUGCUGAGCAAAACCGCAUUAGAUAGUGUCAUGAAGAAAACUCCAUGUGGAGUGAAAAAGUUCUCAUCUGUUUCCAACAAUGGAAGCCCUCGUAUUGGUGGCAAUAGGAAAUGUGAAAGUAUUUUGCUAAUUGAAGCUUAUGAGAACACUGAGGCAUGGCUGCCACAAACGAAAUGAUUGAACUUUUUCUUAAAGUUCCCUCAGAACCUUGAAGUUGAGAGAUUGCUGGGGGCAUACCUUUCCUAGCUAGGGCUUCCGAUACU